rnacentral:rRNA from 1 species
UACGUAGGGAGCAAGCGUUGUCCGGAAUCAUUGGGCGUAAAGCGCGCGUAGGUGGCCUCAUAAGUCCGCUGUGAAAGUCAAAGGCUCAACCUUUGAAAGCCGGUGGAUACUGUGAGGCUAGAGUACGGAAGAGGCGAGUGGAAUUCCUGGUGUAGCGGUGAAAUGCGCAGAUAUCAGGAGGAACACCAAUGGCGAAGGCAGCUCACUGGGACGGUAUUGACGCUGAGACGCGAAAGCGUGGGGAGCAAACAGG